GGGGUAUCUCACGUAUACUCCCUCCUACAAUCACAAACCCCAGGGGCGACGCCAAUAUUUAUGGGGAAAUGGGAGGAGUCUUUGAACCAAACAUUUAGCACCACAGAGUGGGAAAAGAUCUGCAACAUCACACACCAUUGCUCGGUUUUCAGCAAGAGUCAGGAGACAGCCUACAAAUUACUUGCACAAUGGUAUCGCACGCCUGACACGAUACACCACAUACACACAGGUGGGUCCCGUCUCUGCUGGAGAUGUGACAAGGCGCUAGGCACACCCCUACACAUAUGGUGGGAAUGCGAGCAAAUACAAACCUUCUGGCGCACUAUUCACAAAAUACUAUCUCGAUUCUCGGACAACCCACCAGCACUAGAACCAGCAGCCAUUCUACU